rnacentral:rRNA from 1 species
GACGAACGCUGGCGGCGUGCUUAACACAUGCAAGUCGAGCGAGGCCCCCCCUUCGGGAGGGUGUCCUAGCGGCGAACGGGUGAGUAACACGUGGGCAACCUGCCCUCAGCUCUGGGAUAACUCCGGGAAACCGGGGCUAAUACCGGAUACGACCUCCACGGGCAUCUGCGGAGGUGGAAAGUUUUUCGGCUGAGGAUGGGCCCGCGGCCUAUCAGCUAGUUGGUGGGGUAGUGGCCCACCAAGGCGACGACGGGUAGCCGGCCUGAGAGGGCGACCGGCCACACUGGGACUGAGACACGGCCCAGACUCCUACGGGAGGCAGCAGUGGGGAAUAUUGCGCAAUGGGCGGAAGCCUGACGCAGCGACGCCGCGUGAGGGACGAAGGCCUUCGGGUUGUAAACCGCUUUCAGCAGGGACGAAGCGAAAGUGACGGUACCUGCAGAAGAAGCACCGGCUAACUACGUG